AUGAUUGAUGAUGAAAAUUUGCUUCAAUAUAUUAUCACGGGUCUUGGACCUGAUUAUAGUGAAGUAGUUUCUGUUGUUUGUGCUCGUGUUGAACCAGUCACUUUGAGUGAGUUGUACUCACAACUGCUCAAUUUUGAGA
rfam:Oryza brachyantha chromosome 1, whole genome shotgun sequence.